AAAUGUCAGGGUUGGGGCGCGGGACGGACGCUGCAGGAAGCGCCCCCGGAGCCCGGCACCCCGCGCUGCCCUGGGGCCCCCAAAGUUGGCUGGCCGGCGAUUGGCGACCCACUCCCUGGAAGGCGAGGCGCCCCGCCUCCCUCGGCCCCUGAACCUCCUUGAGCCCAAACGCCCUGGUCUCUGGCCCCCCCAGGGCCCACGAAGGGCCUACACGGAAGCUGGCGAGCGCAGACCCCGCCAUACAACCCAAGGCGCCAAAAUUCCUUAGAAAUACACAAGUCUGCUCCGAGGAGGCCAUCCGGCUGCACACAAACCCAGAACCCGGGCUGCAGGGGCCUCCCCGCCCCGCUCUGCCCCGCUGCCCCGCGCGGCCCAGGAGAGCCCUCAGCCAGCGCACCAGGCAGCCGAGCCCGCCACGGCGCCCAGGGCGCUCGCGGCCCUGCGGGUUGCCAAAGAAAAGGGCUCCUCAGAGCCCCCAAGUUUGCGGUGGGACCAAUCUGGGAAGUGUGACCUUCCAGUGGAAGGAGGAAGGAGGGCCGAGAGCCCGCGAUCGACACUAGAAAGCUAAAUACACAGCCGCCCGUUAAGAGAAAGCCAAGACGCCUCUCCAGGGCCCCCGGCUCUGCGCGCUCGCCAGUUCUCAAGUCCAACGCCUGGAGGAAACCCACUCUCUACCCCGCGCGUCGGGCGCAGCACAGUCACUCGGGGCCCGCAGCGGCAGCCAAGGGGUUAACCGGGGAAAGCCCAAGACGCCACAGAAGAGGGAAGGAAGAGAAGGAGAGAGAGGGAGAGAGAGCAAAGAAAGAGCCACACAGUCAUCUUCCCAGGGUGAAGAAACAACCACCGCCACCAAAGGGGGAGGGGGAACCAGAGCGCAAAAGAAAAGUUCUUCGGACCCCCCCCACAACAAAGCCCUGCUUGGACAGAGAGGUCUCCCCAACAUCACGAGGCAGCAAACUGAAAGCAAGAACGUGGCGAAGUGCAAACAAAUCCAGUCCACAAAAGGCAGAAAACAACAUUUGCCAAGCCCAGGAAACAGAUAAAAAAAACCCCACCAGCCCGAGGGGCUUUUCCUACCUCGGAAUCGGAGGAGCUGUUUUGAUUCGUUUCUGAUUCAUUGACUAGAGACGAUUUGACAUCAGCUAAAUCCCUCUCUGCCGAGGAGUUUUCGGAGCUCUUCUCCUCCUGUUCGCCCUCGUCUUUGAAGGAAAUCAGUUCGUCGUUGGCGCCUAGGUCAUCCCCUCCACCGCCGUUCAGCUGCGGCAUUUUUUUUCACCCACCAGCAGCAAUUUUGGAAGAAAAAUGAAGGAGGAAGAAAACCAAAAAAAA